rnacentral:rRNA from 1 species
AUGGCGAAGCUGCAGCUGCACGGCCAUGGCGGCAUGCGAGUGGAAGCCCUCGCCGCCGUCGACGACGACCAGGCAGCGGGCGGCGGGAGGAGGAAGAAGGCGACGGCGGUCUGGAUCGCAGUGCCGCUCAGGCCCGUCAAGGUCGGCCGCCGAAGGCACGGCGGAGAGACAGUGGAGGAGCAGAAGGAAGAGGAGGAAGAAGAGGUGACGACGCCGAGAGGGGAAGGGUGCAGGAUACCCUGGGAGGCGGCGACGUGCCCGCCGGCGCCCAAGAAGGCGAGGACGGCGGUGGCGAUCUUCGCCGACCGCCGGUGCAACCGCGACGACGGCGAGGCGACGGAGUACUUCCGCGUGCCGGCGGACCUGGACUCCGUGUUCGCCGUCAGCCGGGUCGCCGAGGCGAACUGA